GUGCUCGCUUCAGCAACACACAUACUAAAAUUGGAAUGAUACAGGGAAGAUUAGCAUGGCCCCUGUGCAAGGAUGACGUGCAAAUUCAUGAAGUGCUCCAUAUUAAA
ensembl:snRNA U6 U6 spliceosomal RNA